CAGUAGGGGACAGUGUCUAUAACUAGUGUGUGUGUGUCUCCAGGUUCCAGUCAGGGGACAGUGUCUAUAACUAGUGUGUGUCUCCAGGUUCCAGUCAGGGGACAGUGUCUAUAACUAGUGUGUGUCUCCAGGUUCCAGUAGGGGACAGUGUCUAUAACUAGUGUGUGUGUGUCUCCAGGUUCCAGUCAGGGGACAGUGUCUAUAACUAGUGUGUGUGUGUCUCCAGGUUCCAGUCAGGGGACAGUGUCUAUAACUAGUGUGUGUCUCCAGGUUCCAGUAGGGGACAGUGUCUAUAACUAGUGUGUGUGUGUCUCCAGGUUCCAGUAGGGGACAGUGUCUAUAACUAGUGUGUGUCUCCAGGUUCCAGUAGGGGACAGUCUCUAUAACUAGUGUGUGUCUCCAGGUUCCAGUAGGGGACAGUGUCUAUAACUAGUGUGUGUCUCCAGGUUCCAGUAGGGGACAUUCUCUAUAACUAGUGUGUGUCUCCAGGUUCCAGUCAGGGGACAGUGUCUAUAACUAGUGUGUGUCUCCAGGUUCCAGUCAGGGGACAGUCUCUAUAACUAGUGUGUGUGUGUGUCUCCAGGUUCCAGUAGGGGACAGUCUCUAUAACUAGUGUGUGUGUGUCUCCAGGUUCCAGUAGGGGACAGUGUCUAUAACUAGUGUGUGUCUCCAGGUUCCAGUAGGGGACAGUGUCUAUAACUAGUGUGUGUCUCCAGGUUCCAGUCAGGGUACAGUGUCUAUAACUAGUGUGUGUCUCCAGGUUCCAGUAGGGGACAGUGUCUAUAACUAGUGUGUGUCUCCAGGUUCCAGUAGGGGACAGUGUCUAUAACUAGUGUGUGUCUCCAGGUUCCAGUCAGGGGACAGUGUCUAUAACUAGUGUGUGUCUCCAGGUUCCAGUAGGGGACAGUGUCUAUAACUAGUGUGUGUCUCCAGGUUCCAGUAGGGGACAGUGUCUAUAACUAGUGUGUGUCUCCAGGUUCCAGUCAGGGGACAGUCUCUAUAACUAGUGUGUGUCUCCAGGUUCCAGUAGGGGACAGUGUCUAUAACUAGUGUGUGUCUCCAGGUUCCAGUCAGGGGACAGUCUCUAUAACUAGUGUGUGUGUGUCUCCAGGUUCCAGUCAGGGGACAGUCUCUAUAACUAGUGUGUGUGUGUCUCCAGGUUCCAGUCAGGGGACAGUGUCUAUAACUAGUGUGUGUCUCCAGGUUCCAGUAGGGGACAGUGUCUAUAACUAGCGUGUGUGUGUCUCCAGGUUCCAGUCAGGGGACAGUCUCUAUAACUAGUGUGUGUCUCCAGGUUCCAGUCAGGGGACAGUGUCUAUAACUAGUGUGUGUCUCCAGGUUCCAGUCAGGGGACAGUGUCUAUAACUAGUGUGUGUCUCCAGGUUCCAGUCAGGGGACAGUGUCUAUAACUAGUGUGUGUCUCCAGGUUCCAGUCAGGGGACAGUGUCUAUAACUAGUGUGUGUCUCCAGGUUCCAGUCAGGGGACAGUGUCUAUAACUAGUGUGUGUCUCCAGGU